AGCGAACGCUGGCGGCAGGCCUAACACAUGCAAGUCGAACGAACCUUUCGGGGUUAGUGGCGGACGGGUGAGUAACACGUGGGAACGUGCCUUUAGGUUCGGAAUAACUCAGGGAAACUUGUGCUAAUACCGAAUGUGCCCUUCGGGGGAAAGAUUAAUCGCCUUUAGAGCGGCCCGCGUCUGAUUAGCUAGUUGGUUGAGGUAAUGGCUCACCAAGGCGACGAUCAGUAGCUGGUCUGAGAGGAUGAUCAGCCACAUUGGGACUGAGACACGGCCCAAACUCCUACGGGAGGCAGCAGUGGGGAAUCUUGCGCAAUGGGCGAAAGCCUGACGCAGUCAUGCCGCGUGAAUGAUGAAGGUCUUAGGAUUGUAAAAUUCUUUCACCGGGGACGAUAAUGACGGUACCCGGAGAAGAAGCCCCGGCUAACUUCGUG
rnacentral:rRNA from 1 species